AAUAGGUCCUUUUGAGAUCGAAGAAAUGAUAUCAGAUUCAGUAUGUAGAAUCAACACUGGAAAGAAUAAAAAGUCUUUGGGAUUGUACCAUGUGACAAAACUCAUUCCCCAGUUGGAUUAUUCAAAUUAGCCCGAACUAAUUUGCACUUUUGAGGGGGGGAGAUGUAAGCUUGUAAACUGCAUGUUGUGUACGUGGCCAUAGAGUAAGAUGAUAUAUAAGAAUGACAUUGGCACUGACACACUCAGAUAGAGAAUUUGAUCUUGACCGUGAAGUGAUUUAUGAAAUAUUGGAAGUAAAAAACCUUUAAUUGUCGAUUUUUCUAUUUUUAGAUAAAUCAAAUUUGCGUUAUUUACUCCAGUACCAUCUGACAUAUUACAUAUAUAAAAAUGAAUUACUGUUCGUUAGUCUCGCUAAAUCUUGAGAACGGCUGGACCGAUUUGGCUAAUUUUGGUCUUGAAUUAUUCGUGGAAGUCCAGAGAAGAUUUAAAAGGUAGAUAAAUAUGAAAAUGCUCGGAAUUAUAUAAAAAAACAAACAAUUUUGUUUUUCCUUGAUGAGUCCUCUGUCGGGCGGAUUGCUUUUGUUUUUUUUAAAGUUUAUUUUAUACAAAAGUUUAGGUUCUUUAUUUAUCGAUUGAAGUUUGCCGGGUCCGCUAGUAAAAAAAUAAAAUUUGAAUGGUCCUAGCUUGUAACACAUUUCCGGAUUGGUAAACUUUGUCUUUUGUGUAUGCAAUUAAAAAGUCUUGCAAAGAUUUUUACGUAUGCUACAAAUAGCAUAGAGAGUUUUUCAUAAAAAUGCUGUAAUUUGAAAAGGAUUUUAUGUUGUUUUUUAUUUAAACAAACCGUUCAUAAUUUUAGUAUUUUCCUUGGUUUUUGCGAGUUGUAAAUAUAAUUAAAAUAACAUUUACGUUUUAAUAA